UGAUUUUCGUGGCAAUUUUACGCCUGGGAUGAACUUUACCACCACAGGCGGGACCUUUAGAUGGCCUAUGUCCUCUGGGCCUGUGGACCACAGCUUCUUGGGAACAUCAGUCUUUAGUGAAUCAGGGAAAUUAGUCCUUAGGUCUUUUGCAUCCCCAUGAGGCUCUUCUAGAUGUAGCAUCAGGGGUAAGGAGCACAAAGCUGAGGUGUCUGAGACAGAUAGAGGGGUGGAUAGUUCCAC